AUAAAUCUGUUUUUCCGCGUUGAAAUUCCAGAUUUGCCGGCACAGCGCUCUGUACCUUUUCCACCGACGUCUCCAGCCGGCGCAUCGUCCGGAGCCCCGUUUGCCGGCCGCUACCUCCCGACGGGCGACACUGGUGCCGGGGCCCCGCAGCCCCCCGUCCCCCCUCUCUCCUCCAACCUCCCUCUGCCCGGAGGGGGGCUGGAUGCCCCACACACCGCCCCCCACACCGCCCCACACACCGCCCCGCACCGCCCGGCGGAGCGGCCGCCCCUUCAGCCCCUGCCCCGCUGCUCACCGCCGCUCGCUCGGGCGCCGCCGCCGCCGCCUCCUGCCGCUGCCGCCGGGAGCAGAGCGGGGCAGGGCGGCUUCCCCGGGCCGUGCCGAGCCGUGCCGAGCCGUGCCGGGCCGCCGAAGCGCCGGGAGCGUGGCUGGACCCGCGCUGGUCUCCGCGGGAGCCGCCCCUUCCUCGUUUUCUCUCGCAGCCCCGGCCACUUCCUCAAGGGGUGUCUGUCUGUCUGUCUGUCUGUCUGCCUGCGCGCUCGCCCUCCUCCGGCACGGCCGCUGCCGCCGUGCCCCGGACCCCUUCCCCCGGGCACGGCUCGGCACGGCCCCGGACCCCGCGGGGCUCAGCUCCGCUCCCGGCGUGAAGGAGCCGGGGGCGAUAAACGUGGGAGAAAAGGAAUAAAAAGGAAUGGUGGAGUCCUGUGUGUUUCAGGACCUUGGUGGGUUUUGGGGGAGAAAAUCGCUUUUGGAGGGGGGAAACAGUUUCCCACCGAAGCAACGCAGGGGCCUGCCAUAGGACGGCAUCUCCCCUUCGUCCUGUAUUUCACUCAAAACGUAUUUCAAUCAAAAACAUGUUCUAGUUUUGUAGCUGCUCCUGGUGUGGAGGAGACUCCCCUGCCUCAAAACACAGUUAAAGGAAGCUCCCUUCUCAAAAUCUUCUCUGCACCCCGAGUGGUGGAGAGCCAAUUCCCACACAGGUGGCCCAAUGCAGCUGAAAGGUGA
rnacentral:lncRNA from 1 species